UACGUAGGGUGCGAGCGUUGUCCGGAAUUACUGGGCGUAAAGAGCUCGUAGGUGGUUUGUCGCGUUGUUCGUGAAAUCUCACGGCUUAACUGUGAGCGUGCGGGCGAUACGGGCAGACUGGAGUACUGCAGGGGAGACUGGAAUUCCUGGUGUAGCGGUGGAAUGCGCAGAUAUCAGGAGGAACACCGGUGGCGAAGGCGGCUAUCUGGACCGACAUUGACGCUGAGGCGCGAAAGCGUGGGGAGCAAACAGG
rnacentral:rRNA from 1 species